rnacentral:rRNA from 1 species
AUGACUCGUCAUUGCGCGAUGUAUUUUCUUCACUCACUGGUAGCCAUUUCCGUCCACACCGAAAAAAAUAAACCAAGCAUCAGUUACCUUAUCAAAAUCAGUUGGAUUCAAUGUCACUUUGUUCUCCAUCAUCAUUGUAUUUAUCCAACUGAAAAGAGAUACGGUCACUCCAUGUGUAUUCGGCGCUCGCGUGGCAUGCCACGUCUGCAUGGGGCCACUGUCAGCGGCCGAAGACGCUCUGGAGCAACCAGUGCGUGGUAA